ensembl:lncRNA
GUGAUGAAGCCACUACUCUCUGAAACCAGUUAAACCCAAGCCACAUUACCAAAACGCUGGGCAAAACCAGAGCAACUUACUUCAAAGCUGAAAACAUUUCAACAUACUCCAGGCAGCAACCCACACUUUGGUGCCAGGCAGAGGAAGCACCAUUUGUUUAAAAAGUCCACUUAUCUCACUGUCUCUUCAACAACAAAGGUGGCAAACUAGUGAUUAACCAUUGAAGAAUCACAUCGGGAAGAUGCCACCCACUUGCUAAAGUCAUGAUUCUCUAAUAAGCAGGUUCAAUGCAAUUCGUAACUUUAAAGAAUGAAUUACCAAGAGCCCUCUGCUUCACAAAUCACUCCCUCACCAAACGUAAAAAACAACCAUCAUCUGUAACUCCACAACCAUUUUUUACUUUCAUCCUAUGGACUCUGUUCCUCUAAGAACAGUACCCCCUCCCCACCCCCUCCCCCGCCCCGCACAAUUUCACAUUUAAUCAUUUAUAUUACCGGAGACAAACUCCAACUCAGUUCCACCAACUGAGUGAAAAGUCCCUGUGGCUAAGAACGUAUUACUUCUUUUUCAACAUAAAAACGCCUUAUUAAAAAUUUUUUUUAAACACAAAAGUACUUAUGCUGUUUUCCGUCUACUAUCUUCAAAACUCAAUUCAAUAACGAGAUAGAAGGUAAAAACUCCUAUAAUACUUCAGAGAUCAACAUGUGUCACAGACUCGCAGACUGUUCGCCUCUAAGACAUAGUUGAUUCCUUUGUUCCUCCAGACGGAACAGCAACUCUUGAUUAAAAUUUGGAAAACUACUUUGGAAGGGUUGUGACGGUUUGCAGAAUAUUUCCCGGGAAACCCUUCAUAAGACAAUAUCCACUAGUAGUAGAAGAGGACACACAGAUGUAAGAGAGAAAAACGAAGCCUCCCAGGACCUGCACAGGGUUCACUCUAGAGGUGAACCCGGUUUUCUGGCUCCGGAGAAAAGUGAUGGUUGAGGCCUCGGGUCCCAGGGGCCUCGCCCUCGGGAGGGGAAGGACACGUACCAACGGGCCUGGCUGGACCCGAGGGUCGGCUAGAGGCCGGGAGCGCGGUCCCCUUGCCUACCCACUUUCCCCAGUCCGGGAUCCGGCCAGCUCAGAGCAGGGAGGCACCCGGGCGAGAGGCGGGGGGAGCUGCGCCAGGCGCCGCCCAGGACGCCCGGGGCAGCAGGACUGAGAACGGCGCGACGAGAAGCGCCCGGGGCUCCGGGCCGAGGGGGACAGCCGAGCGGGGGCGCGACCCCGGCCCGGGUCCGGGGCAACACGGCGGCCGCCCUCCCGUCCCCGGCCCAGGACGGCCAAGAACGCGCCGGGCGGCAGGCACGCGCUCGGGUCCCGGAGGCUCGCGGGAACUGCGGGGCCCCCUCGGUUGGCUGGUUUUCCUCCUCGCCCGCCCUCCGGCCGGCCGGGCGGGGGCUGCGGGGGCCCCGAGGCAGCGGGAGGAGCACGGCGGCCGGGAGAGGUGGGUGCUCCAGGCGCCCCGAGCCCUUCCCCGCGGCUCCCGGCUCUGUCCAGCAGCCCCCACCGCCGCCGGAGGCGCCGGGACAGCUCCUCCUGGGGCUCCCGGGGGGGUGGGGACCACUCUCGUGACCCAGGCCAAAAGCCCGCGAAGGGGGCUCAGCCUGGGGGUCCGGACGCCCCGGGUCCCUUCCUGGGUGCCGGCAUCUUAG